CAGCUUCAGACCUUCUGCAGUUUUCCCAUCUCUCAUAACAUUCAUAGAACUGAAAAGAUUUGGAGUCUUGCUCUGGAAUAUACUUUGAAUUAAGGGGAAUUCAAACUGCAAUCGCUUUUCUGUAUCAGGAAGGACUGUCAUUUGCUGCCAGUCACAGCCUGGAAGCCCGGAGCCACAGCCUGUCUUGCUGUCUUGACCAGGUUGCGGAAUGCAGCAGUAUACUAUCACCUGCCGUGGACCACCACAGUGGAUGAGCAGCAGGAGAGCCAGGGGUCUC